CCUACGGGAGGCAGCAGUAAGGAAUAUUGGACAAUGGACGAAAGUCUGAUCCAGCCAUGCCGCGUGCAGGAUGAAAGCCCUAUGGGUUGUAAACUGCUUUUAUACAGGAAGAAACACUCCGACGUGUCGGAGCUUGACGGUACUGUAAGAAUAAGGAUCGGCUAACUCCGUGCCAGCAGCCGCGGUAAUACGGAGGAUCCAAGCGUUAUCCGGAAUCAUUGGGUUUAAAGGGUCCGCAGGCGGUCUUUUAAGUCAGAGGUGAAAGCCUACAGCUCAACUGUAGAACGGCCUUUGAUACUGAAAGACUUGAGUUAUUGUGAAGUGGUUAGAAUGUGUGGUGUAGCGGUGAAAUGCAUAGAUAUCACACAGAAUACCGAUUGCGAAGGCAGAUCACUAACAAUAUACUGACGCUCAUGGACGAAAGCGUGGGGAGCGAACAGGAUUAGAUACCCUGGUAG
rnacentral:rRNA from 1 species